ensembl:snRNA
GUGUUGUAUGAAAGGAGAGAAAGUUAGCACUCCCUUUGACAAGGGUGAAUUUGGGAUGGUCUCUCU